rnacentral:rRNA from 1 species
AUUGAACGCUGGCGGCGUGCCUAACACAUGCAAGUCGAGCGGUAACGCGGGAGCAAUCCUGGCGACGAGCGGCGAACGGGUGAGUAAUGCUUCGGAAUCUGCCCAAUGGUGGGGAAUAACCAGCCGAAAGGUUGGCUAAUACCGCAUACGUCCUAUGGGAGAAAGCGGGGGAUCGUAGGACCUCGCGCCGAUGGAUGGGCCGAAGUCGGAUUAGCUAGUUGGUAGGGUAACGGCCUACCAAGGCGACGAUCCGUAGCUGGGCUGAGAGGACGACAAGCCACACUGGGACUGAGACACGGCCGAGACUCCUACGGGAGGCAGCAGUGGGGAAUAUUGGACGAUGGGGGAAACCCUGAUCCGGCGACGCCGCGUGUGUGAAGAAGGCCUGCGGGUUGUAAAGCACUUUUAGUGGGGAUGAAAAGCUCAGGGCUAAUACCUCUGGGUCUUGACCUAACCCAAAGAAAAAGCACCGGCUAACUCUGUGCCAGCAGCCGCGGUAAGAC